CGCAACCUGCAUUGCUUUUCUUUCAUUCUAGAAGAACGGGAGCACCAGAGCAACACAAGUAGUAGUACUAGUAAAAGAAGAGAGCCGGACGGCCAAUCGACACACAGAAACAAGGGAUCCUCCGCCUCCGACCCUAGUCAUGCUCCUGCGCACGCCCUGCACCCUCUGGGAACCCCGCGCCAGAGCCAGAGCCAGCGCCGGACCCCGUGCGGACGGUGGCCACGCACCGCGAGCUGCUCUCCCCGUGGAACACGUAUAUCCGGACGAGGCACACCACCUCGACGGAGACGGGCACCUCGAAGGCGCGCAGCACGAGCGCCUUGCCCACCACCCUCGCCACGGCCACGAACGGCAGCACGCCCGCGACGGCGUCCGACGCGAAGUGGGGGCUCUCGGCCACCUUCACCCCGUCCACCACCGUGGCCGGCUCGACCCGCGCCGUGGCCCCGCCCCCGACCUCGCCCGCCGGCACCAGCGUCUCCCCGACCGGCGCGCCGUGGUACGUCACCGCGCUCAGCGCCGCGCCGUACCGGAACGGCGCGUUGCUCGGGUUGCUCACCACCACGUGCACGCCCACCGACAGCUUCAGCGCCGGGUGCGGCAGCAGCCGGAACUCCUCGAUGCCCACGUCCACCGGCGUCGCCACCACGCGCGGCGGCCGCGGACGGUACCGCAGGUAGAAGGCCAGCGCCAGCGCGCCCAGGAUCACCAGCACGCCCAGCGCCACGCAGCACGCCAGGCGGUGCGCCCUCCGCCUCGCCUUGCUGCUGCCCUUGUUAUUGUUAUCAUCACUCAUCUUCGCCGAAUCCCUUCUUGAUGCUGAGUUGCUCAGUACGUAGAAUUGAACACAGCGAUGGCAACAUGCAUGACAGAGAGUUAUAUUUGUUGCUCCACAUCUUUGUUGGCAGAGGUGAAGACGCUUUUACAUGUCGUCUAUCUGCUGAGGCUAAAUUAUUGCCUUGAGAUGCGCCUAAAACUCAAUUAAUAAGAGGAUUAUGGUUGCUUUGGUCAGCCACAGAGACAUCUCCUUCAAAGUGGUUGAAGUGUUUUUGUGAGCGCAAACGUCUUGUCGCGGGAGAUGCACGUCAUAUUUCUCAGGUGUCAUAUUAUGCUGUGAUCAGCAGUUAAUGUCAGGCACCAAACCACUAUCCCAUCUUCAGUCAUAUUAAGCCACAAUAUGCAUCUUGGUGUUCCUACAACAGCAUGGCAUGCAAGGAAUUAUGAGCUUGGUUAAACUAUUUCUGUUUCUAUGUUCACUUUUAGUUGCAGGGCUAUUGCAGUCCGUUACUUAAUUGGUGCAUGAUUCCCUUGUUUAUUAUAAAAGGAUGUUUUUG
rnacentral:misc_RNA from 1 species